rnacentral:rRNA from 1 species
AACGAACGCUGGCGGCAGGCUUAACACAUGCAAGUCGAACGCCCCGCAAGGGGAGUGGCAGACGGGUGAGUAACGCGUGGGAAUCUACCCAGAUCUACGGAACAACAGUUGGAAACGACUGCUAAUACCGUAUACGCCCUACGGGGGAAAGAUUUAUCGGAUUUGGAUGAGCCCGCGUUGGAUUAGCUAGUUGGUGGGGUAAUGGCCUACCAAGGCGACGAUCCAUAGCUGGUCUGAGAGGAUGAUCAGCCACACUGGGACGGAGACACGGCCCAGACUCCUACGGGAGGCAGCAGUGGGGAAUAUUGGACAAUGGGCGCAAGCCUGAUCCAGCCAUGCCGCGUGAGUGAUGAAGGCCUUAGGGUUGUAAAGCUCUUUCACCGAUGAAGAUAAUGACGGUAGUCGGAGAAGAAGCCCCGGCUAACUUCGUGCCAGCCGCCGCCGUAACAC